rnacentral:rRNA from 1 species
AUGGCUGCCGCCGCCACCGCCGCGCGCGCGCUCUCCCGCCUCCUCCCGCUCCUUCUCCUGAUGGUUCUUGCUGUGGCGGCGAGGGACGAGGGGGAGCUGCGGGCGCUGGCGGCGCUGAGGGCGGCGCUGGACCCGGCGGGCCGGGUGCUGGGCUCGUGGGCCCGGGCCGGGGACCCCUGCGGCGGCGGCUUCGUCGGCGUCGCCUGCGACCGCGAGGGCCGCGUCACGGCCGUCUCGCUGCAGGGCCGCGGCCUCUCCGGCACCCUCCCGCCGGCCGUCGCCGGGCUGCGCCGCCUCCGGGGGCUCUACCUGCACUACAACGGCCUCAAGGGCCCCAUCCCCCGGGAGAUUGGCGGCCUCUCCGAGCUCGCCGACCUCUACCUCGACGUCAACCACCUCUCCGGCCCCGUGCCCGCCGAGAUUGCCGCCAUGGCGAAUCUCCAAGUGUUGCAGCUGGGCUACAACCAGCUGACAGGCAGCAUACCGCCCCAGCUAGGCAACCUAAACAAGCUUGCUGUUCUUGCGCUGCAGUCCAACCAGCUGACCGGAGCCAUUCCGGCAACCCUCGGCGACCUGACUCAGCUGACUCGGGUCGAUCUGAGCUUCAACAACCUAUUUGGCUCGAUCCCUUCAAAGAUCGCAGAUGUUCCAUCGCUCGAGGUCUUCGAUGUUCGCAAUAACACUCUGUCAGGGAGUGUCCCUGCUGGAUUGAAGAGACUGAAUGGAGGGUUCCAGUAUGUGAAUAACAAGGGGCUUUGUGGAGCAGAGUUCAUUUCUCUUGAUCUUUGUACCUCUACAGAGGAUGGGCUGAGGCCUAGCAAGCCUGAGCCUUUUGGCCCGGAUGGCACUGUCAAGACAGGGCAAGUACCCCAGUCGGUGGAUCCACACACGACGAAAUCUGCAAAGGCCUCUGCAGGAGUUCUUAUUGUGGGUGUUCUUGCCGUGGUCAUCGGUGCGGCAUUCUGUGGAAUAUUUGCAUUCUCGUAUUAUCGCCGGCAGAAGCAAAAGAUUGGCAGUUCGCUGGAGGUUUCUGAUAGCAGGCUCAGCACUGACCAUUUCCAGCAGAAGGAAGCCUGCCGAAGGAGUGCUUCUCCUCUGAUCAGUGUGGAGUACUCAAAUGGAUGGGACACUAUGUCAGGUGGAGGCUGCGGAUCAUCCGGUGAGGUUGGCGACAGCUUCAGGUUCAACCUUGAGGAGGUCGAGUGUGCGACUCAGUACUUUUCUGAGGUUAACUUGCUAGGUAAGAGCGGCUUUGCUGCGACGUUCAAGGGGAUACUGAGGGAUGGGUCUGUUGUCGCGGUUAAGAGCCUCAAUAAGACAAGUUGCAAGCAAGAGGAGUCUGAUUUCCUGAGAGGCCUGAAGACGCUCACCAUGUUGCGACAUGAGAACCUUGUUGGCUUGAGGGGCUUCUGCUGCUCCAGGGGGAGGGGGGAGUGCUUUCUUGUGUAUGACUUCAUGGUUAAUGGGUGCUUGUCGCAUUAUCUCGAUGUUAAGGAAGGGUCUGAAGCUAGUGUUCUUGAUUGGCCUACAAGAGUUUCCAUCAUCAGAGGCAUUGCAAAAGGUAUUGAGUACCUACACAGCAAGAAGAGCAACAAGCCAUCACUGGUACACCAGAACAUUUCGGCUGAGAAAAUUCUUCUUGACCAACAUUUCGCCCCACGGCUGUCCGUCCCAGGACUACACAAGCUCCUUGCCGACGAUGUUGUCUUCUCAACUCUGAAGGCCAGUGCAGCUAUGGGGUAUCUUGCCCCUGAGUACGCCAACACGGGACGCUUCACCGAGAAGAGCGACGUCUUUGCCUUUGGGAUUGUUGUUCUCCAGGUCAUCACAGGCAGAAGGGCCGUCUCACAAGUGAAGAUAGGCACUGCUACCAGCGACCUCGAAGGCCUGAUAGAUCCCAGCCUCGGCGGCAUCUUCUCGAGGACCGAGGCUGCCAAGCUUGCAGAGGUUGCCGCACAUUGCACAAGCGAAGCGGCGAGCCAGAGGCCGAUGAUGGAUGCUGUGGUUCAGCAACUCAGCGGCUGA